rnacentral:ncRNA from 2 species
CUCUUAUCGCGAGCUGGCUGAGGGACUGGCCCUAUGAUGCCCGGCAACCGGCGCUUACCCUGCAAGGGGGGCGAAACGGUGCUAAUUCCAACGGUGAGAGUCGAAGCCGCUGACGAAAGUCUGCCACUUCGACCCUGAACCGAGAGAUGAGAG